UACAGAGACCCCAAGCGUUACCCGGAUUUAUUGGGCGUAAAGAGUCUGUAGGUGGUAGAGUAAGUUACCAAUUAAACUUCAUCGGCUCAACCUUUGAACUGUUGGUAAUACUGCUAUACUAAGAGGGCGUUAGAGGCUAACGGAACCGACGGAGUAGGGGUGAAAUCCGUUGAUAUCGUCGGGAACACCAAAAGCGAAGGCAGUUAGCUGGGACGACCCUGACACUGAGAGACGAAAGCGUGGGGAGCAAAAAGG
rnacentral:rRNA from 1 species